rnacentral:tRNA from 1 species
AGCGGGAUGGGGCAGUCAGGAGUGCCCGAUGGGCCCAUAACCCAUAGGUCGGUGGUUCAAAUCCACCUCCCGCUA